rnacentral:lncRNA from 1 species
GCAACCUCUGCCUCCUGGGUUCAAGCUAUUGUCCUGCCUCAGCCUCCCAAGUAGCUGGGAUUACAGGCACGUGCCACCACGCCCGGCUAAUUUUUUUGUAUUUUUAGUAGAGAUGGGGGUUUCACCACGUUGGCCAGGCUGGUCUCGAACUCCUGACCUCCGGUAAUCUGCCUGCCUCGGCCUCCCAAAGGCCGAGGAUUACAGGCUGGGGUUACAGGCACGUGCCACCACGCCCAGGUAUGGCCAUUGUCAAAUCCUGUUUCUUUCUCACUCACCCAGACUGCAGACUAACACAGGUCUUGUCAGACAAUCCCUUACCAGGCCGCUCCAACGCGAGGAAAGGUAAGGUAGGAAGAAGCUGCGUUUAGAGGGAGGGGACUUGUGGGAAUGAUGCACCAAUAAUACACAAAGGCUUCAUUAGGGCACAUCAAUCCAGGAGUCCUUCACUUUAUAGUGUCCUUUAGGAACUUCUCCUGGGACUGAAUUCCUCUGGGCUAGGAUAGUCUGAGCUUUAGGGCAGCCCAGGAACUUCUUGGAAGAAGUGAAAGGCUCUUGAGUCUGUCAGUAUUUGUUUCCUUGCUCUUACAUACACAGUGCAAGAGUGCAUUCCCAAUACAUGCAACUCUUGAACUGUAACAAUGAUAAUGAUGGGUUGAAAGCUUACAAUAUUACAAAUGUCUCUAGUUUCCCCAGAAAUUUUUCUGUAAUUUGCUUUCCGUUUCUCCGUUGAUAUUUUGAAACCCUUAAAGAAAAGCCACUUGCACACUGGAUUUUGUUUCUGUUAGUAUAGAUCCUUCAAAUGACAACCUAGUGACAAAUGGAACUCUAGGACCUAAGAUCCAGGAUCUUACCCCUUCUCUCUCUCUCUUUUUUUUUCUUUUGAGACGGAGUCUUGCUCUGUCACCCAGGCUGGAGUGCAGUGGCACAGUCUUGGCUCACUGAAACCCCUGCCUCCUGGGCUGAAAUCAUCUGCCUCAACCUCCCGAGUAGCUGGGAUUACAGGCGUGCACCACCAUACCUGGCUAAUUUUUGUGUUUUUAGUAGAAAUGAGGUUUCAUCAUAUUGGCCAGGCUGGUCUUGAACUCCUGACCCCAGGUGAUCCACCCGCCUCAGCCUCCCGAAGUGCUGGGAUUACAGUUGUGAGCCACUGCACCCGGCCCCCCUUCUCCUUUUGAAUAUUAAUUCACAAGGCUUCUUCCUGUUGGCUACACCAAACAAAAUUGUAUCUAUUCUGUUUUUGUUUUUGUUUUUGUUUUUGUUUUUGUUUUCCAGUUUAGAAAACAUGGCCCUUUUAGCUGUAAUUAUAUGGCUGGAAGAAGAAACAAAGUUGUGAGCUGCAAUGGAGCUGAAUGUUUUUGUCCCCCCACCAAUCCCCCUCAAAAAACUCAUAGGUUGAAAUCCUAACCCCCAGUGUAAUAGAAAAUGGGGCUUUUGGGAGGUAAUUAGGUCAUGAGGGUAGAGCCCUCAUGGAGGGAUUAAUGACCUUAUAAAAGAGACUCCAGAAAGCUAGCUUGUCCUAUUUCUGCCAUGUGAGGACACAACAAGACAGUAGUCAUGUGCAGCCCAGAAGAGGGUCCGCACCAGAACCCAACCAUGCUGGGACCCUGAUCUCAAACUGGCAACCUGCAGAACUCUAAGAAAUGCCUCCUGUUUAUAAGCCACCAGUUUAUGGGACUUUGUUAUAAGCAGCCCAAGCUAAGGCAUAUGGGCAAUGAAAAUAUCAGAAUUGUUUGAAACUUUAAUCUAUUGUAAUAACUCCUUUCACAUUGUGUAUAAUACGUCGGUUUAACAAUAUGUAAUAAAAUUUUAAAACAAGGCAUCUAUUCCAAGAAUUAAUUAAUUAUAUUAAUUGAACAGACACUUACUAAUUCAUUCAACAAAUUGCUGAACACCUGAUAUGUGCCAGAUAUUUUUCUAGGUGCUGGAGAUACAGCAGUGAAAACAAAGAGCAAACCCUGACCCUUGUGAAGUGAAUUGUCAGGAGCUCAGCUGAGCUGGGAGAGAGAGAGCUCUCAGAGUAGCCGGUUACAGCAACAAGCCAGAGAUAAAAGAACCGAGCCUUUAAUCACUCACGGCAAUGGUAAAAGCAAGAGCUUAAAGCAGUUUUAUGGACCCUGAAGCAGGAGGGCAGCGGCGAGAGCUUGGAGUGGACAAGUCCUGGGUGAUGAGUCAGAGUAGGGGAAUGUAUCAUCAAGGUCUCCCUCCUCCCCGCAUAAGGAGGUCUUGGCAAAGGCAUCUGAAAAGGACGUCUACCCAAGGUCUGCCAGAGACUAGCAAUGAAGACUCUGGGGCCAGGAAUGUAAACAUAGGAAAAGCAUGACUGACCGGGAGAGCCUGAGUCCUUGACUGCAACUUCCUUCAGAGACCGUGACCCACUGGCUGUGCACCAAAUGUCUCUCAGAGAGCAGCAGCUUUCUGUAUGAGGUCUGCCAGGGUCUCACUCUGUUACCCAGCCUGGAGUGCAGUAGUAUGAUUAUAGCUCCCGGCAACCUCGAACUCCUCGGCUCAGGACCAACCAGAGAAAGCCAAAUAUGUAUCCUCAACUGACCACAUAGGAUGCCGUGCUUCCACUUAACCUGCCUCCAGCCAGCAACAUCAAAUCAGGGCAUACCUGAAGUCUUUCCUUUUUUCACAUUAUAAAGCUUUCACACUCUCCUGCCUGCCUUCCGAUCUCUGAAAAACACAAGUGAUGGUGGCUGACUGCUUU